rnacentral:rRNA from 1 species
AUACAGAGGGUGCAAGCGUUAAUCGGAUUUACUGGGCGUAAAGCGCGCGUAGGUGGCUAAUUAAGUCAAAUGUGAAAUCCCCGAGCUUAACUUGGGAAUUGCAUUCGAUACUGGUUAGCUAGAGUAUGGGAGAGGAUGGUAGAAUUCCAGGUGUAGCGGUGAAAUGCGUAGAGAUCUGGAGGAAUACCGAUGGCGAAGGCGGCCAUCUGGCCUAAUCCUGACACUGAGGUGCGAAAGCAUUGGGAGCAAACAGGAUUAGAUCCCCUGGUAGUCCAUGCCGUAAACGAUGUCUCCUAGCCGUUGGGGCCCUUGAGGCUUUAGUGGCGCAGCUAACGCGAUAAGUAGACCGCCUGGGGAGUACGGUCGCAAGACUAAAACUCAAAUGAAUUGGCGGG